GAGUUACUUGCAUUAGACCCGAAACCGGGUGACCUAUCCAUGAGCAGGCUGAAGCGGUGGUAAGACACCGUGGAGGGCCGCACCCACGUCCGUUGAAAAGGCCGGGGAUGACUUGUGGAUAGCGGAGAAAUUCCAAUCGAACUCGGAUAUAGCUGGUUCUCCCCGAAAUAGCUUUAGGGCUAGCGUUAUGAUAGAUUACCGGAGGUAAAGCACUGAAUGGGCUAGGGGCCGCGAGGUUACUGAACCCUAUCAAACUAAGAAUGCCGGAUAAUUGUUUCAUAGCAGUCAGACUACGUGAGAUAAGUCUCGUGGUCAAAAGGGAAACAGCCCAGAUCCGCAGCUAAGGUCCCAAAUAGAUGCUAAGUGGAAAAUGAUGUGAAACUGCGAAAACAACCAGGAUGUUGGCUUAGAAGCAGCCACUCAUUCAAAGAGUGCGUAAUAGCUCACUGGUCGAGUGGUUUUGCGCAGAAAAUGUAACGGGGCUAAGCAUCUAACCGAAGCUCGGGCAGUAUUAAAUACUGGGUAGGGGAGCGUUGUGUACGGAACGAAGUCAGAGCGAAAGCACUGGUGGACUUUACACAAGUGAGAAU
rnacentral:ncRNA from 1 species